GACGAACGCUGGCGGCGUGCUUAACUCAUGCAAGUCGAACGGAAAGGCCCUGCUUGCAGGGUACUCGAGUGGCGAACGGGUGAGUAACACGUGGGUGAUCUGCCCUGCACUUCGGGAUAAGCCUGGGAAACUGGGUCUAAUACCGGAUAGGAGCCAUUUUUAGUGUGAUGGUUGGAAAGUUUUUUCGGUGUAGGAUGAGCUCGCGGCCUAUCAGCUUGUUGGUGGGGUAAUGGCCUACCAAGGCGGCGACGGGUAGCCGGCCUGAGAGGGUGGACGGCCACAGUGGGACUGAGAUACGGCCCAGACUCCUACGGGAGGCAGCAGUGGGGAAUAUUGCACAAUGGGCGCAAGCCUGAUGCAGCGACGCCGCGUGGGGGAUGACGGCCUUCGGGUUGUAAACUCCUUUCGCUAGGGACGAAGCUUUUGUGACGGUACCUAGAUAAGAAGCACCGGCUAACUACGUG
rnacentral:rRNA from 1 species